AGUGAUUUAGCUGUUGAAGCAAUUAACAUGAAAAAGGAUAAAGUAACUUGAUCAAUGACACGAAAUAUACAUUCGACUUUCAAGAAUUUCACUGGAUACAAUUACAAAGCUUGGUCACAUCUCAUACAUUAUGAAAUUCUCGUUUGCGACUAAAGGCAUCGAAAUCACAAUAACUCCAGUAGGCACAUACUUAAGCUGCAUCAUUCAAGAACAGCGAUGUCACAACUUGAGAUUAAUACCCUCCUCAAUCAUCCUCAACUUCAAAAUAAAUAAUAUUUCCUUGAGAAUUCCAGAAUAUUUCUCCCUCUCUUCCGUCUUAAAGUUGCACUGUGCAAGCAUCGACACGAGCUCUCUUGAUUUGCAAGAGGAAUAAGCACCAAGAAACCAAUCACUGGUGCUUUAUUCACAAGUUAAGCUCUUGGGUAGCCAUCAAAACCCCACUACUGGCACCUCAGGAUGGCAGUCGUGGAGAACAAGACAAUUGACAAAAUGUAAGCAUGUUACAGAGUGACGGCUACAUCAGGGAUGAAAUAUGGACUACGGGCAACACCCACUGUCAUUUUGA